rnacentral:misc_RNA from 1 species
GAAGUGCGAUAAGCAAUGUGAAUUGCAGAAUUCAGUGAAUCAUCAGACCUUUGAACGCAAAUUGCAGUCUUGGUAAACCAGGACUAUAUCUGUUUCAGUGCCUUUAAUGAACCCUCAAAACUUAAUCAGUUUUUAUUAACUGAUUAUUUGUUUUGGAAAGUGAGCGUUAAUUAAUUAAUACUUAAUUAUCGCUUCAAACGUAUGGCCUGGGACCACACUAAUGCUUCCAUCCCGCAAUGUAGUAGUCACACUCACGUGUGAAUCUCAUUGCGCGGUAGCAGUGGCUUUCCUGCACGGCUGAGAAACAAACUCACACUUUCAAACUAAGGCCUGAAAUCAGGUAAGACUACCCGCUGAAGUUAAGC